rnacentral:rRNA from 1 species
AUGAACGCUGGCGGCGUGCCUAACACAUGCAAGUCGAACGGAGCUGCUUUAAUGAAGUUUUCGGAUGGAUUUAAAACAGCUUAGUGGCGACGGGUGAGUAACGCGUGGGUAACCUGCCUCACACUGGGGGAUAACAGUUGGAAACGACUGCUAAUACCGCAUAAGCGCACGGUAUCGCAUGAUACAGUGUGAAAAACUCCGGUGGUAUAAGAUGGACCCGCGUCUGAUUAGCUAGUUGGUGAGAUAACAGCCCACCAAGGCGACGAUCAGUAGCCGACCUGAGAGGGUGACCGGCCACAUUGGGACUGAGACACGGCCCAGACUCCUACGGGAGGCAGCAGUGGGGAAUAUUGCACAAUGGAGGAAACUCUGAUGCAGCGACGCCGCGUGAGUGAAGAAGUAAUUCGUUAUGUAAAGCUCUAUCAGCAGGGAAGAUAGUGACGGUACCUGACUAAGAAGCUCCGGCUAAAUACGUG